AGAAGGUUUUAGUUGCCAGAGCUGGUUCAAAAUAAUAAUAUAACAAAAAUGCAUUUUGGCAUUGAGUAUCUCCAUAUUUCUACAAAGAGCUUCUAUUCAGUUACCACUGUGCGUUUGCUCGGGCUAGGCAGCUAAGAGAAGUCCACAGCAGAGAAGAAGACGACGACGACGCCGAAGACGACGUUGACGCUGAAGCUUGUCACUUGUCAGUUGUUUGUCAUCUGACAUACAUGAAUUUUACAAAACUUUUCUGCCCGAAAAUAAAAAUGAGAAGAAAGGAAAAAGCUUCAGGAGCAGCUAGUCAAAUUUCAAUUUAAUUUCUGGCAACAAGCGGACGAAGUUCGUCAAACCAAAACUCAGAAGUGACGAACUCUGUCCUGACGUUUGGGGCGGGGUGACCCUUCAUCAGACAGAAACAACAAAAAUUAGCACGAAGUGAAGCGGGCGGCAGGCGGGCGGCAUAUCCAAAGGACACAAGCCAAGAGGCCAUAAGGAUGCAGCGGAUGCCGACGAAGUAUAAGCAGAAGAUGGACAAAUGGAAAGCAUAAGGAAAAAGGACAAUAUUGGACAAGUUGGCACACAUGCGACAGCGAGGAGGGCUACAAAGAGAGGCAGAGAGAGAGAGAGAGAGAGAGAGAGUGGGGAGCGUGAGACGUGGACAGUGGUUGGGUCAGAAACAUCCUGACGAGAUGUAAACCGACAGCAGAGCAGCAGCAAAGGCAACAGCCGUUGGUUUGACUUGAGCUUGAGUUGAUGACGAAAAAGAUGACAAGUUGAAAAUUUUUCUAAUGAAGGACCUUUUGUAGCACAAAGGACACCCACACACACACACACAUAUAUAUAUAUACACACUGAGACAUGCAAACCGAUGGCCAGACAAGCGCUUGUACUUCUACUUGUAUAUAUGUAUAUGUAUUUAGCUAUAUAUAACAGCAGAUUUCAUUUAUAGCUUUCAGCAGCAGCUCCAACGACUAUCCGAAGCUGUAUACUCUAGGUGUGAGUUUCUAAUUGUAGAGGUGUUAAGUGAGUUCAACCGGUUUAUUGCAGUUUAAGCUAUUUAAUUGGCUAUAUAAAAAUUUAGUAGUAGUAGUGGAUAUUAUUAAAAGCAAAAGCCUUUCAAUAUUUAGCUCCUAAGUCAAAUUGAUCAUUUUAAAUCCUUCUAAAGUCCAGGGCUUACGUCAUAGAUUUUUGGAACUACAAGCUUUAUAGAGGAAAUAUCAGACUUAUAUAAAUACAGAUGAUUUAAAUAAUUA